CAUAAAGGGUUAACUUCUAAAAGCCAGCUGGCCAAUGAGAGCGCGACCCCUGCGUCUCCACAGCAACCACAGAAAAACUUUUGAAUGAAAUCAAACGAAAGACACGAACCAACGAGAAUAAUCUAUCAAUAAGAACUCAAUAAGAAGAGAAAAGAAACCUGAACGAGAACAUAAACCUGACCGGAGGGAAAACGAUUGACAGGACUAACGUUAAAUCGAAUGGAUUGAAGACAUCCAGAAGACAAAACUUCAAACAGAACUGCAACUUUCUGAACUGCCUGUACUGCAUCUAAUGCUGGCUUCGGUCAGGUUUUUAUAGUGGAUAAAAGAUCUGAAUUGAUGGCGAGCCUCCCAGAAUCCCGAAUCUGAACUUGCCUUCACCUUUCAUUUCCCUUCACACCACUGUGGUAGGACUGUAAGACUGACCCAGACUGACCUUUUGACUAUUCCCUGACUUAACCUCCUGAUAACUUCUGAAUGAACUGAAUUAAUUGAUUGUGACACAUUGAUCGUUGAUAUUGAUAAUACAUUUUGUUGAAUUGAUACACAUACAUACUAUAAUACACUGAAUAUUUAUUGUAUAUAUUUUUAUUUUCUUGUACCAUUGAAAGAUCACAUUGAAUAUUUUAGAACUUAGGUAAGAUAAGGGUGCACCCGAAUAUAGAACCGUAUAUAGAACAUCUGAUAUUGUUAUUUACUGCACUGCACUUUGUAUUCUAUUUAUUUCAAUCUAUUCAUUGUACUUAUUGUUAUUUAUACCAUUUUAUUCAUUCACUCCUUUUACUUAUUAAAUGUCAUCAUUAUUCUAA